GAUGAAGAACGCAGCGAAAUGCGAUAAGUAAUGUGAAUUGCAGAAUUCAGUGAAUCAUCGAAUCUUUGAACGCACAUUGCGCCCGCCAGUAUUCUGGCGGGCAUGCCUGUCUGAGCGUCAUUUCAACCCUCAUGCCCCUAGGGCGUGGUGUUGGGGAUCGGCCAAAGCCCGCGAGGGACGGCCGGCCCCUAAAUCUAGUGGCGGACCCGUCGUGGCCUCCUCUGCGAAGUAGUGAUAUUCCGCAUCGGAGAGCGAUGAGCCCCUGCCGUUAAACCCCCAACUUUCCAAGGUUGACCUCAGAUCAGGUAGGAAUACCUGCUGAACUUAAGCAUAUCAAUAAGCGGAGGA
rnacentral:misc_RNA from 1 species